rnacentral:rRNA from 1 species
GUAGGGGGCAAGCGUUAUCCGGAUUUACUGGGUGUAAAGGGAGCGGAGACGGUAUGGCAAGUCUGAAGUGAAAGCCCAGGGCUUAACCCUGGGACUGCUUUGGAAACUGUUAGACUAGAGUGCUGGAGAGGUAAGUGGAAUUCCUAGUGUAGCGGUGAAAUGCGUAGAUAUUAGGAGGAACACCAGUGGCGAAGGCGGCUUACUGGACAGUAACUGACGUUGAGGCUCGAAAGCGUGGGGAGCAAA